rnacentral:tRNA from 1 species
AGUAUAGUCAGCUAAAAAAGCUCUCAGGCCCAUACCCUGAAAACGUUGGUACCCAACCCUCCCUAUACCA